rnacentral:rRNA from 1 species
CCUACGGGAGACAGCAGUGAGGAAUAUUGGUCAAUGGACGGGAGCCUGAACCAGCCAAGUCGCGUGAGGGAAGACGGUCCUACGGAUUGUAAACCUCUUUUGCCGGGGAGCAACGGGGUCCUUGCGAGGGCCCAAUGAGAGUACCCGGAGAAAAGGCACGGGCUAACCCCGUUCCAGCAGCGGCGGAAAUACGGAGGAUGCGCGCGUUAUCCGGAUUUAUAGGGUUUAAAGGGUGCGUAGGCGGGCUGUUCAGGGAUCGGUCAAAUGUCGGGGCUCAAACCCGGCCUGCCGUUGAAACUGGCGGCCUCGAGUGGGCCGGAGUUAGGCGGAAUGCGUGGUGUAGCGGUGAAAUGCUUAGAUAUCACGCAGAACUCCGAUUGCGAAGGCAGCAUACCGUCGCCCUACUGACGCUGAGGCACGAAGGCGUGGGUAUCGAACAGGAUUAGAUACCCGGGUAGUC